AGUAGGACAUGGCAGGGGUCAGAGCCCUUUGCUUUGGGCAAAGGGAUCCGACCCCGAUGUCGUUCGGCCUCAUCGUUCUAUUA
rnacentral:tRNA from 1 species